rnacentral:lncRNA from 1 species
AAAAAUGUUUAUUAAGUGCCUCCUAGACUUAGAGAAUGUUCUAUGGGCUGGAUACAUAAUAGUGAAAAUACAGAUGAGAUCCUUGAAACUGAAGGUAUAUUCAGUGAUGCUAUAGUAUCAGAAGUAUGGAUCUACAUAAAGAAAGGAAGGGCAUAAGAGAAGGAGAACUGCCAGCAGAGAUAUAGUGGGCCCUGAAACAGCAUGACUUUGAUGCUUAGAAAAUGCUCUCUUUUAACAAAGUAAAUCAAGCAUAUGUGUACGAGGACUGGGGCUCGACUGGUGUGGAGAGCACAGAAUGGUCUAGAUGUAUGACAAGGAGCAAGAAGAGGCUGCUGGGUAGCCGGGAAAGAGCAGGGAUGAAAAGAGGCAUCAGAAGAUGAGGCCUGGCAGGAAACUCAGGUGAUACCGAGCUGACCUCCCUAUCAGAACAGACUGUUGUAUUCACGAGCACCAAUAUUAUCUUCUUUUCAUCACAUUCGUGUGGCAAAUCAUAUUCGUGUAUUUACAUUGUAUUGGAUACUCGUGUGCUAAGGGCAAUUAUCAGACUCCACAGAUUUCCUGUCAAGAGGGGAACUCGGAAGGCCACCUGGUUCGUUCGUAGCAUUGAGGUGGGCUUCAUGGGCCCCAGUCCAAAACGAAGUUCUCUUUGCCUGAAGAGGAUGUUCUGAAAUAAACCAUGUCUUGUUUUCUGACC